rnacentral:misc_RNA from 1 species
UCCGGUUUGUCACCGGCAGUCUCGCAUGAGUCCCCGGCUUUACCCGCUGGCAACAUGCGACGAGGGUUGCGCUCGUUGCGGGACUUAACCCAACAUCUCACGACACGAGCUGACGACAGCCAUGCAGCACCUGUGCACGAUCUCCGAAGAGGGGCUCUCGUUUCUGAGAGCUUGCUCGUACAUGUCAAGCCUAGGUAAGGUUCUUCGCGUUGCGUCGAAUUAAACCACAUGCUCCACCGCUUGUGCGGGCCCCCGUCAAUUCCUUUGAGUUUCAACCUUGCGGUCGUACUCCCCAGGCGGGGUACUUCCUGCGUUAGCGCCGGCACAACCGGGGUUGAGUCCGGUUACACCAAGUAUGCAUCGUUUACGGCUAGGACUAC